UCCGGUGAACACGUUCCCGGGCCUUGUACACACCGCCCGUCAAGCCAUGGAAGUUGGGGUGCCUAAAGUCCGUAACCGCAAGGAUCGGCCUAGGGCAAAACCAGUAACUAGGGCU
rnacentral:rRNA from 1 species